UACAGAGGUCUCAAGCGUUGUUCGGAUUCAUUGGGCGGUAAAGGGUGCGUGAGGUACGGCGCGGUAAGUCGGGAUUGUGAAAUUCUCGGGGCUUAACUCCGAAACUGCAUUCGAUACUGCCGUGCUUGAGGACUGGAUGAGGAGGACUGGAAUUUACGGUGUAGCGGUGAAAUGCGUAGAUAUCGUAAGGAAGACCAGUGGCGAAGGCGGGAU
rnacentral:rRNA from 1 species